rnacentral:rRNA from 1 species
GAUGAACGCUGGCGGCGUGCCUAAUACAUGCAAGUCGAGCGAACGGACGAGAAGCUUGCUUCUCUGAUGUUAGCGGCGGACGGGUGGGUAACACGUGGAUAACCUACCUAUAAGACUGGGAUAACUUCGGGAAACCGGAGCUAAUACCGGAUGAUAUUUUGAACCGCAUGGUUCAAAAGUGAAAGACGGUCUUGCUGUCACUUAUAGAUGGAUCCGCGCUGCGUUAGCUAGUUGGUAAGGUAACGGCUUACCAAGGCAACGAUGCAUAGCCGACCUGAGAGGGUGAUCGGCCACACUGGAACUGAGACACGGUCCAGACUCCUACGGGAGGCAGCAGUAGGGAAUCUUCCGCAAUGGGCGAAAGCCUGACGGAGCAACGCCGCGUGAGUGAUGAAGGUCUUCGGAUCGUAAAACUCUGUUAUUAGGGAAGAACAUAUGUGUAAGUAACUGUGCACAUCUUGACGGUACCUAAUCAGAAAGCCACGGCUAACUACGUG